CCUUACGGGCGGCUGCAGUGGGGAAUAUUGGACAAUGGGGGCAACCCUGAUCCAGCCAUGCCGCGUGUGUGAAGAAGGCCCUCGGGUUGUAAAGCACUUUCAGUGAGGAAGAACGCCUGGUGGUUAAUACCCAUCAGGAAAGACAUCACUCACAGAAGAAGCACCGGCUAACUCCGUGCCAGCAGCCGCGGUAAUACGGAGGGUGCGAGCGUUAAUCGGAAUUACUGGGCGUAAAGCGCGCGUAGGUGGCUUGAUAAGCCGGUUGUGAAAGCCCCGGGCUCAACCUGGGAACGGCAUCCGGAACUGUCAAGCUAGAGUGCAGGAGAGGAAGGUAGAAUUCCCGGUGUAGCGGUGAAAUGCGUAGAGAUCGGGAGGAAUACCAGUGGCGAAGGCGGCCUUCUGGACUGACACUGACACUGAGGUGCGAAAGCGUGGGUAGCAAACAGGAUUAGAUACCCUAGUAGUC
rnacentral:rRNA from 1 species